GCCUUCAUCAGAUGAAGCACAAGCCGAAACAUGUCAGAUGAUGGUGACAACUGUGCUCAUUGGAACCAUCAAAUCCUGUCUUCGAGACUAUAGCAGUCACAUCACGGUCUGACUGUCUCACCAAAAGCAGUCCGAAUGUUGUGAUGGCUGGGAUGACAUCUGCUGUCAUAGCUGUUGAUGACCUGAUCUCCAUUGGGAAUUUUUCAAAAGAGUUGGGAAUAGGCAAGCUAUGAAUGAAUGCUUCAGGGCGGCGUUCAACACCAUCGCUCCUGACAUCCUCCAACAGAAGCUCAUCCAGUUCGCGGUGCCUGCCUCCACCUGUCAGUGGAUCACCAGUUCCCUGACCAAUAGGAGAAAGCAUGUGAGGCUGGGGAGCAUCACAUCGGACACCCGGACCACCAAUACUGGCACCCCUCAGGGGUGCGUCCUCUCCCCACUGCUCUUCUCUCUCUACACCAACGAUUU